GUGGUGCCCUGUCUGGGAGGUCGUGCGGUGGAGAAGGCCCACUCUCGCCACCCACCGCUGAAUCUUCAAACGCCAUCUUCCUUAAACCCCAAACAUUUCCCCCUGUAAAAACUUUUAGGGUUCAUUCAAGAUGUGCACUCCUUCGCAAGCUCAGCUCCAUUCUGCCCAUGGCGUCUCCUGCUUCUUUGCGGAGUUCACCAAGCGACGGUUUAUGCCCCCAAGGUUGAGACAUGGAAGCCAUAGUUGCUGUAAGGUUCAUGCAGUUUCGAAUCGCUUUUCGUGAAGGAUUUGCCUCGAUUCGAUGGCACUGUAGGAUUUUAUGCWUUGGUAAUAUUUCAGGUUUGGCAGAGGGAAUGAAGCCACUGGUCCGCUGAGCAUAGUGCUGUAUGUAAUACAUUGAUAUUUUGUAAAUUGAUCUGAUCUCUUUCAAUCAAAUUGGUUUGUAGAUUGAAUUUGCAAUUUACAAUUUCCAUACCUUUA